AGUUGGGGUGGGGAGAAGGACGGGCGGCAGACUUUAGCCGUAACGUAACCAAAUGCGGACAUUGCGCUACUUCGGUGCAUUAUUUCUUCCAAGGGUUUUUAUCCCGCUUCUCCGUCCCAAAGUCCCCCUGAACGUUUCACAAGGCGAGCAGUGACACGGGGGACGUCCCUGCCGGCAGGCUCGCAACCUAAAAGGACCGGACACGGCGCUCAAAGAAAAAAGCAUGGGAAAGAAAAGGCGGACGGAGUCCAAAGUACGAUCCAGUGCAGGUCUUAUUUAGGGGAGGCCUAUUAAAAUGCAUAGAAAUUUUUUAUUGAUUUGGUCGACUCUAUGACUUGCAUUGGAUUGUAUCCUAGGGCUACAACAGUUGUUUCCAUGACCUGGGAGUUUUUUUCCUUAAAACUUUUUGUUGAUUAAAACGGUGCUUCUAAUUAAUCAGGCAGCAAAUUAUUUUUGAUACACACACCCAAUGUCAGUUCCAGGUUUUUGAGAGCGCUUGGGUAAGGGUCCCUCCAAGCCCCCUCCUUCAGUGAAUCUACCUUCUUAAGCCCAUUGUCAUCCUCUUCCAUCACCCCUACCACCUGCUCUGGUUGUUGGUGGGUACUUGAGUACUUAGGGGACAAGCAUAUACACAUUUUAGACAGAAAAAAGUCCACCAUGGUUGGUGAAAGUUGCCACUUGUAAGACUUCUCUCCCCCUGUCUAAACAUGCAGGGGACUAUGACCUUCAAGCUGCACUUGUGUUCUGCCUGUUGUAAGAUAAGAGGCCUGGGCAGAAAACCCCAGCAGGAGAAAGCCAGAUAUGGUAAUGGAAAGAAAGAGCUCCAUUUUUACAGCAGAAAUGGAUACUGUACUCUUCUCAGGGCCAGAACAAUCCUGGACCAGUUGUACCAGUAAUCAGGUAUAAUUCUUAGAAAAAUUUAUUCUAACCCUGUGUGAGCCUCCCCAUACACACAUACUUGAAGCCAUUUUUUUCUGCUCUGAAUUUCUGAUGAAUUGUAAUAAGUACGGUAGGGUUUGAGAGAGGUCUGGCUUAUGCUACUAUCCUUGAAUUUUCAGGAGCAGUUACAUGAGAGCAAAUUCCACUGAAAUCAGGACACCUUCCUCCUGACUUGGUCCUGAUGAGCAGAUAAGACCCAGAAGCUUUACAACUACAGCUGUGGUGAAGAUGAAAACUCCCAGAACUUGUUGUUGCAUGGAUCAAGCAGCUACCUGCUAUUUUGGAUACCUCUUGAGGGCAUAAUGGUGACCUUACACACGUCAUAAAAACCCUCUGAACAGAGCAGCAGAAGUGGAGAAACCGAACAUAUUUUGAGUGGGUUAAAAAGAGAAACCAGCAGCUGCUAUAUGGAUGCUCCUCAGUUUAUAGGUGGAUACCUGAAAAUUAAACUGUGGUGACUCAUCAAUGACUCCCAGGUUUUAACCCAGAAAUAGGUGAAACAGUUUCAGAACUGGAGGUUUCCUUUGGCCUUUAAACAUUGUAUUAAAAUAGAAUUAAAUUUGUCUUGUUUUUAA